rnacentral:rRNA from 1 species
GAUGAACGCUGGCGGCGUGCCUAAUACAUGCAAGUCGAGCGGAGCGGGGACGGGUGAUUAACACGAGGAUACCUUCCUAUAAGAAUGGGAUACCGUAGGGGAACCGGAGCUAAACCGGCUACUGAUACAUGGAUCCGCGCUGGAUUAGCUAGUUGGUACGGGAACGGCUUACCAAGGCAACGAUGCAUAGCCGACCUGAGAGGAUGAUCAGCCACACUGGAACUGAGACACGGUCCAGACUCCUACGGGAGGCAGCAGUGGGGAAUAUUCGACAAUGGGCGAAAGCCUGACCGAGCCAUGCCGCAUGAGUGAAGAAGGUCUUCGGAUCGUAAAGCUCUGUUAUUUGGGAAGCGGUACCUAAACAGAAAGCCACGGCUAACUUCGUGCCAGCCGCCGCGGUAAUUC